rnacentral:rRNA from 1 species
UACGAAGGGGGCUAGCGUUGCUCGGAAUCACUGGGCGUAAAGCGCACGUAGGCGGAUUGCUAAGUCAGGGGUGAAAUCCUGGAGCUCAACUCCAGAACUGCCUUUGAUACUGAGAAGCUUGAGUCCGGGAGAGGUGAGUGGAACUGCGAGUGUAGAGGUGAAAUUCGUAGAUAUUCGCAAGAACACCAGUGGCGAAGGCGGCUCACUGGCCCGGUACUGACGCUGAGGUGCGAAAGCGUGGGGAGCAAACAGG